rnacentral:rRNA from 1 species
UACGGGGGGGGCAAGCGUUGUUCGGAAUUACUGGGCGUAAAGGGCUCGUAGGCGACCAACUAAGUCAGACGUGAAAUCCCUCGGCUUAACCGGGGAACUGCAUCUGAUACUGGAUGGCUUGAGUUCGGGAGAGGGAUGCGGAAUUCCAGGUGUAGCGGUGAAAUGCGUAGAUAUCGGGAGGAACACCGGUGGCGAAGGCGGUUCUCUGGGCCUUACCUGACGCUGAGGAGCGAAAGCGUGGGGAGCGAACAGG